GGUGGGAGCUGGCUUGCCUGCGAUGGCGGCGGGCCAGUUUGCAUCACGGUACCUGACAGACCGCUAUCGCAGGCAAGCCAGCUCCCACA
rnacentral:misc_RNA from 1 species